rnacentral:misc_RNA from 1 species
AAGUCGUAACAAGGUUUCCGUAGGUGAACCUGCGGAAGGAUCAUUACCACAAAUUAUCUAAUAUUCUUCUGUGAACCUAUUAUAAAUAUCGUCGUUUUUUACGAUGAUGCCAUAUUUUUUCCAAACUUGAUAUUUUUCAUCAUAUAUAUAAAACUAUGAUAAAACUUUUAGCGAUGGAUGUCUAGGUUCUC